AUUGAACGCUGGCGGCAUGCCUUACACAUGCAAGUCGAACGGCAGCGCGGGGCAACCUGGCGGCGAGUGGCGAACGGGUGAGUAAUAUAUCGGAACGUACCCUGGAGUGGGGGAUAACGUAGCGAAAGUUACGCUAAUACCGCAUACGAUCUAAGGAUGAAAGUGGGGGAUGCGCAAGCACCUCAUGCUCCUGGAGCGGCCGAUAUCUGAUUAGCUAGUUGGUGGGGUAAAGGCCUACCAAGGCAUCGAUCAGUAGCUGGUCUGAGAGGACGACCAGCCACACUGGAACUGAGACACGGUCCAGACUCCUACGGGAGGCAGCAGUGGGGAAUUUUGGACAAUGGGCGAAAGCCUGAUCCAGCAAUGCCGCGUGAGUGAAGAAGGCCUUCGGGUUGUAAAGCUCUUUUGUCAGGGAAGAAACGGUGAGGGCUAAUAUCCUUUGCUAAUGACGGUACCUGAAGAAUAAGCACCGGCUAACUACGUGCCAGCAGCCGCGGUAAUACGUAGGGUGCAAGCGUUAAUCGGAAUUACUGGGCGUAAAGCGUGCGCAGGCGGUUUUGUAAGUCUGUCGUGAAAUCCCCGGGCUCAACCUGGGAAUUGCGAUGGAGACUGCAAGGCUAGAAUCUGGCAGAGGGGGGUAGAAUUCCACGUGUAGCAGUGAAAUGCGUAGAGAUGUGGAGGAACACCGAUGGCGAAGCAGCCCCCUGGGUCAAGAUUGACGCUCAUGCACGAAAGCGUGGGGAGCAAACAGGAUUAGAUACCCUGGUAGUCCACGCCCUAAACGAUGUCUACUAGUUGUCGGGUUUUAAUUAACUUGGUAACGCAGCUAACGCGUGAAGUAGACCGCCUGGGGAGUACGGUCGCAAGAUUAAAACUCAAAGGAAUUGACGGGGACCCGCACAAGCGGUGGAUGAUGUGGAUUAAUUCGAUGCAACGCGAAAAACCUUACCUACCCUUGACAUGUACGGAAGCCACGAGAGAUCGAGGUGUGCUCGAAAGAGAACCGUAACACAGGUGCUGCAUGGCUGUCGUCAGCUCGUGUCGUGAGAUGUUGGGUUAAGUCCCGCAACGAGCGCAACCCUUGUCAUUAGUUGCUACGAAAGAGCACUCUAAUGAGACUGCCGGUGACAAACCGGAGGAAGGUGGGGAUGACGUCAAGUCCUCAUGGCCCUUAUGGGUAGGGCUUCACACGUCAUACAAUGGUACAUACAGAGGGCCGCCAACCCGCGAGGGGGAGCUAAUCCCAGAAAGUGUAUCGUAGUCCGGAUUGUAGUCUGCAACUCGACUACAUGAAGUUGGAAUCGCUAGUAAUCGCGGAUCAGCAUGUCGCGGUGAAUACGUUCCCGGGUCU
rnacentral:rRNA from 1 species